UACGUAGGAUGCAAGCGUUGUCCGGAAUUAUUGGGCGUAAAGAGUUCGUAGGCGGUCUGUUAAGUCUGGUGUUAAAGACGGGAGCUCAACUCCCGCAUGGCAUUGGAUACUGGCAGGCUAGAGUGCGGUAGAGGUCUCGGGAAUUCCAGGUGUAGCGGUGAAAUGCGUAGAUAUCUGGAGGAACACCGGUGGCGAAGGCGGGUCUCUGGGCCGUAACUGACGCUGAGGAGCGAAAGCGUGGGGAGCGAACAGG
rnacentral:rRNA from 1 species